UACGGAGGGUGCAAGCGUUAUCCGGAUUCACUGGGUUUAAAGGGUGCGUAGGAGGGCAGGUAAGUCAGUGGUGAAAUCUCCAAGCUUAACUUGGAAACUGCCGUUGAUACUAUCUGUCUUGAAUACCGUGGAGGUGAGCGGAAUAUGUCAUGUAGCGGUGAAAUGCUUAGAUAUGACAUAGAACACCAAUUGCGAAGGCAGCUCGCUACACGAAUAUUGACUCUGAGGCACGAAAGCGUGGGGAUCAGACAGG
rnacentral:rRNA from 1 species